rnacentral:rRNA from 1 species
UACGUAGGGUGCAAGCGUUGUCCGGAAUUAUUGGGCGUAAAGAGCUCGUAGGCGGUUUGUUACGUCGGCUGUGAAAACCUGGGGCUCAACCCCGGGCCGGCAGCCGAUACGGGCAGACUAGAAUUCGGUAGGGGAGACUGGAAUUCCUGGUGUAGCGGUGAAAUGCGCAGAUAUCAGGAGGAACACCGGUGGCGAAGGCGGCUUGCGCUCGGCCUACCUGACGCGUGGAGGAAGCCGA